UUCACAAAAGCAAAGCACUAAUUCCUUGUUACUUCAUACGAUUAUGAGCUAUACAUCUGUCAAAUCGUACAUGAAGCCGCUCCCAAACAAGAUAAAUUUAUCAACUAAACUUUACAUACAUAUGUGCAUGUAUCAUAUAUACACAUUUCAUACGCAAACUAUACGUAAGUGCUUUAUAAAUACGUAUAAAUGUAUACUUGAUAAGGUACAUAUUAGAUAAAAAUAUAUUUUGACAGAUGGUUUGAAAUGACGAUUGAGAAAAGAUUGAGAACAAUUCUCGAUUAGGGAAAAGUCGAUAACAUCUCGAUCGGUGAGAACAAUCAAAACUAGUCAAAAGGCACCUAAAAUCGGUAGUUUUUAAGUCGGGGUUGGGGUCGGGUUCGGGGUCGGAGCCAAGUUCCUUGCUUGCGACGUGCGCCGUAACCGUUGCGCCGUGUAACCUUCUGUCAGCCGUCGUCGGCAGAGAGCGAGUAUUCAGUGAUUAAAGGAAAGAUGGCUACGAACUUUGGCGUAGAGUGUCAGUACUUUUACGAGGAUGUCGUCUAUCGUGUGGAUAAGAAAGGUAAUGUUGUGUUCGGAAUUGUUAUGGAAAAUGACGACCAAGAUUUGUCCGAAGAAAGUUCUGACAGCGAAGAGAGCCAAAAGAGGAAAAAGGGCGAGAUUCGCGUGGUCUGGCAUCCCUCCGGUAUCGAGGAGUUGGUCAGCUCGAAGAAGGUACAUUUAGCAGAUAGAACACUUAUGCCAGGAGAUGUUGUACGUCGGAUGAUCAAAGGAAAGGAUACACAGAGAGGAUACUGUAGGGAUAUUGAGCUUACUGCCUGUGUUCAAGUGAUCGGUACUAAACAAGUGCUUACCAAUAUUAGGAGCGAAGAUUUAGUUCCUUUGGAAGAAUUUGCAACGGAUAUAGCUGUUUGUAUGGACUCAUGGGUUGGUGGCAUAAAAAUGGCAAAUUUUAAAUUGUGGCUUACUACACCCGAUGGAUCUCGUUGUGUCAUAAAUGAAACAGAUUCUCGUGUUUUAGGUCAAUUAGAGGAGAGGCGUGAUAAUGAUAAUGAUUUUCCUCAUUCUUCUGAAUUUUAUCCUGGUCAAAGUUUGUGGGGACCAGUUCACUGCCUAGAAGAUGCACAAUGGAUUACAUGUACAAAAGAAAUGAAAGCAAAGAGAAAAUCUAAACCACAGAAACUAACAAAGGUAAUUGUAGAAAAGGUAGAAACAGAUUGGGUAGGAGUGCAUUGGCAGUGUAGAGCAUAUUCAAAGGAUGGUGCUUGGUCAGAUCAAGCUCAACCAAAAUUCGUAGUUGAGGGAGAAAAUUUGAAGAAACUAAAAUUAUUGAAUGUUUUUGAACCAUCUACUGUGCAAGUGGGAGAUCGAAACUUUUAUGUAAUUAAAAGUGAUGAAAAUGUCAUUACACGAGAACAAUGGAGAAAACAACAAAGAGACAUUUUUCAAGUUCCUAAACAUAGUCCAAAGAAAACACGUCCAAAUAUCAGUGUGACAAAGCCAGUUGAAGAUAGAAAAAAGGAGAAGGAUAAAGAUAAAGUUAAUGAACAGCAAACAUUAGAAGAGAAUGCUCAUAAUAAUAUUAACAAUUUACAAAAUAUUACAAGCAAUAAUACUCUAAUGCCUCCAGUACAAAACCAGAAUACUGAAAGUUCAGAUGAUUGGGACACAGAAGAUACUGGAUCACAAAGUGACAGUGCUUCGGUAUCUAGUGGAUGUUCCAGCAUGUCAUCCAUGGGUAAAAAGAAAAAAAGCCCAGCUUUAAUGACAAAGGUUCUGAAAAAGAAAAAGUUAUGCAAGGCAAAGAAGAAGAUUCCACCAGUUCCAUUGAUUCCAGGGACUAAAAUUGUUGUGGAAACAUUAUCUACAAGUACAAAAGCUAAUGUUGUAUGGCAAGAUGGUUCAGUAGAAUUUGGUAUUCCAUCAACACAACUUUAUCCGAUUCAUCACUUAGAUGAUAAAGAAUUCUUUCCUGGUGAUUUUGUAGUUGAUCAAAAGGAAGAGUCUAGAAUGUAUGGUGUAGUUCAAAGUGUUGACCAUCAGGGUAGAACAGCUAAAAUAAAAUGGUUUAAAACAUACACUUCUAGUCAAAGUCCGCAGCCAACUUUACUAGAGGAACGUGAAGUCAGUGUAUAUGAUUUAAAAGAUCAUCCAGACUUUCAGUACAGACCAGGUACAUUAGUAAUUCGAAUAGCUAAUUUUGAAGGAGAAGAUGCUGGAUGUACUGCUGGUCAAGUGCUAGAUAAUUAUCCGGAAGGACGAGUUAAAGUGUGGUGGGUUGAUGGACAUGUAAGUAUGUGUUGGCCUCAAGAUUUGUAUAAAGUAGGUGAAUAUGAUAGUGACGAAGGAGAACUUUGGGACGAUGUAUCGUCUGACGCGUCAUGGGAAACGGAAUUGGAAGACUGGUAUAUCGCCGAUACCGAUGGUACAGAACAAACAGAAUUAGAAAAUAUAAAACCAAAGCUAGCCGCACACAUCGAGAAAGCUCGCAUUGCAAUGUCUAGACUGGAAGAGAUCUUCACUCAAAAUCCUUCACUUCAGACAACCGAAGUUAUGAGAAAAUUAUUAGAAGUUUAUAAAGAUUGUCGAUACAUGGAUAAACUUAUGGGUACCUCUUUCUUCCAUGAAUGUCAUUUUCAAGGACUUCUGGAGAGAGUCCGAGAACGUGGUCGUGCAAAUGUAGCGCAACGUAUGGCGGAUCAAGUAACAAGAUUAUUUACGCAUAAAUCUGAUGGAUCAGAAGAAAAUAUAGAAAAGAACAAUAUAGAAAAUUCCAAUAAUAUGCAAUCAGGAAGUAAUCCUUGUGAAAAGAUCAUUACCACUGUAACGGAUAUGACAGAAUCCAUCGAUCAUAAAAACGACGAAGCCACUAAUAAACAGAACGUAAAAGGUGAAGAAUCAAUUGAUCGUUUAUUUAUUAAUGUUAAUCCUAAUCCUGAGGAUUCUGGAUUGUAUUCUGCAGAAAAUUCAAAGAAAGAGUCGGGUUCGAGUGACUCAAGUGGGGAAUUUCUACUUAGCGAGGAUGUGAAUAACGUACCUGAUCGUUCAAUAGAGAAACCAGAAAUGAAUAAAACUUCCAAAAGUCAGAUGCACAUAACAAGUUCUCAUGUGGCUAGUUCUCAAGUUUGCGUUAAAUUGUGCACUUUAAUAAAAGCUCAACUUGUACUAGCGCAUGCAGAAGUUUCUAGACGAUUCGGAUUAUCAAAGAUGUCAUUAUCCGAUGCCGAAAAAGGAUCAUCGCCUUUGAAGAAGCAGAAGAAAGAAGAAGAAAAACGUAUAGAAUUGUUACAAGAACCAUCAGAAUAUUCCAUAGAAAUUCCACCACCAAUAUAUACAGAAGGGGAAGGAUUUUCUAUAGAAGAGACGGCACCAGAUAGUCAUAAAUUUAAAUUAACAAUGUUUCAGCCUACAGAUCCUACAAACUUUUUCAGAACUGUUUCCAAGGAAUUAAAACUUUUAAAAAGUUCACUUCCACCCGGUAUAUGGGUAAAGGGAUUUGAAGAUAGAAUAGAUUUAUAUUCUGUAAUGUUUCGUGGACCUGAGAAAACUCCAUACGAAGAUGGUCUUUUUCUUUUUGAUUUUCAAUUAUCUGCCGAUUAUCCUGCAGCUCCACCACUUUGCCAUUAUAUUUCUUACUGUAAUGAUAGGUUAAAUCCCAAUCUGUAUGAGGAUGGUAAAGUUUGUGUAAGCUUACUUGGAACAUGGUCUGGUCGUGGAACGGAAGUGUGGACAAGUUCCUCAACCCUCUUGCAAAUUAUAGUCUCGAUUCAAGGCCUUAUUCUCGUACCAGAACCAUAUUUUAAUGAAGCUGGAUUCGAUAAACAAAAAGGCUCUCAACAAGGAAAAGAAAAUUCAAGAAUGUACAAUGAAAUGGUUGUACUAAAGUUGGUUCAAGCACAGACUAAGUUAUUACAACAUCCACCACCUGUAUUUAAAGAUAUUAUUAUUGGACAUUUCAAGAGGCAUGCAAACAAAUUAUUGCAACGUUUAGAGUUGUGGAUGGAAAUCUCUGAACAACAUAAUAAUCAACACCCAUUAUCUCCAGUAACACCUACUACUUUUAAACAAAUAUCUGACGUUGAUAACAAAAUUUUACCAGAAUUUCCAUUAAUACCAGCGUCUAGAGGUUUCUGCAUAACACUCCGUAAAACUUUAGCUAUAUUCAAAGAAGUGCUGAUCAAAGAGGGUAUUAUAGAAAGAAACAGCGACGUACGUACUUGUGAAAAUAUCAAGGAGCAAACAAAGAGCGAAAGUCACGAAACAAGCAAAACUGCUGACAGUAAUACAAUGGAACACGACAGCAAAAAAAAGAUCAGUGAAGGAAGUUCCAAAUUAACUCCAAACGGUAGCCUAUCAAAGGACCGUGUAUCAUCUUCCUCCACGAAUAUUUCCUCUACAUCACUAAGCGAAACGAAGAAAAUUACGUUGGAUCAUACCAUCAGCUAGCCACAAGAAACGCCGCUGUCAUUGCUCCGCAGCUAGAGAUAUUUGUUACUAUAGAGUAACCACGUAGUAACGUAAUAAAUACGAUCAUAUAGGCAUGUAUGAACAAAUAAGAUCUUGUUCUUGUAUACAAUUUCGUAAAUUUCUGAGAUAUAUUAUACAAUUUAAUUUAUGAUGUUAUAUAGAAUAUAUAAUAAUAAAAAUACAUAUAUGUAUAUUAUAUAUAAUAUAUAAUAUUAUAAUAUUUACGAAUAUAAAAUUAAUAUUUGGUCACGGGAUACUAUAUAUGCAUUUAGUUCUAUAAUUCUGCAAUGAAAAUAGAGGGCGUUUCUCAAAAACGCAGUUUGACUGAAUUAUUAAAACAAAGAAACAAGGAAGGAGAAAAUAAUGUCAAAUAUUGAAUAAGCGAAAAAGUAUUGUCACUGCAUAAAAAAUGAGAAAAAUUAAAAUGAAGAAAUGAAGUAACCAAUAAAAGUGUUGUCAAGCAAUCGCCAUAAAGUGCGGCGACUUUGGAAUUCUUGCGCCAACAGGGUGCAUACAAAAUGGGUACAGACAGAGACAGGAAAAUAAAAAAAAAAGAAAGCAUGUGUUUGCGCGAACGUUUCCUCGAAAUCAUGUGGUGCUGAAUACAUAAACAAAAAAAUGAAAGGAAAAAAUCACAAUUAUACCAGGGAAACUGCAAUCUCUAGGAAAAAAGGAAAGGGAGAGAAAAUGUAAUAAGUAAAAAUGAUAGCUAAACUAGACGAAGAAAAUAACUAGAGAGGAAGAAGCAAUGCGAGUACUGUCUUUUAAGGCAGAGAAGAGCUUGUAUUGUGAAACGUGAUGUUUUGGAAAGCCUUGUAUAUGUGCCAGCUAUUUCUAUUUACAUUAUGAUGGUAAUUAUAUCCGUAAGUUGCAUAGAGCUUUAUUUUCGCCGUAAAAUUACUUUAAUAUUGUAUGAAAAAAACAGAUGGAAUAUAUUUAAUUAUUCGAGUCAACAUAUAAACUGUCGAUACCAACAUUUUAAAUGCUGCUUCAGUAACUGUUUCUCAUGAUCCUUUGAAACAUUAUACAUACAUAUAAAGCAUACUAAACUAUUGAUUUAUUUUACAAAUUUAGUUCGUAAGUAUAUGUAACUAUUUUGAAAGUUAAUUAAGAUAUAUUUAUAUAUUUAAUUUAAAUAGAAAUAUUUCAAAGGAUUAGUGAACAACUACAUAGAAUAUUAUUAUAAACCUUCUAAUAUAAGGCAUUAAUCUUAACUAUAUCUAUUUCGUGUAUUAGAGAAAGUAUCUCAUUUGAUAUUUAGUUGAAGAUCUUUUCUCGUUGGUAUCGACCAAUUUAAUAUAUUACAACGAUUAUGUAAUGAUCUAUUACUUGUAAUUUGAUUUCCUUGAUUUUUAUUUAAUAAAAAGUUAGUAUGUGCGAUUAAAAAAUA